ensembl:snoRNA
GGUGUUUACCCCAGGCUGCAUUGUAUUCUUACGCUGACUGUUUAGAAAGAGUAAACCUACCUCAUAGGUCCUUUCCCUGUUCUGUAUUGUGAAUGGGAAGACAUCA